rnacentral:rRNA from 1 species
AUCCGUUGAUCCUGCGGAAGAUUGCUGCUAUCAGGAUUCGACUAAGCCAUGCAAGUUCAGGGGUCGCAAGACACCGGCAGAAUGCUCAGUAACACGUCGAUAAUCUGCCAUUAGGUUCGGGAUAACCUUGGAAAACUGAGGCUAAAACCGGAUAGAAGAUUAUAUCUGGAAUGGUUUUUCUUUGAAAAGCAGUGCCUAAUGAUGAGUCGGCGCCCGAUUAGGCUGUUGGCGGGGUAAAGGCCCACCAAACCUAAGAUCGGUAGGGGCUAUGAGAGUAGGAGCCCCGAGAAGGACACUGAGAUACUGGUCCUAGCCCUACGGGGUGCAGCAGGCGCGGAACCUCUACAAUGCACGAAAGUGUGAUAGGGGGAUCCUGAGUGCUCAUGCAUAGCAUGGGCUUUUGCCAAGAGUAAAUAUCUUGGCGAAUAAGUGGUGGGAAAGACUGGUGCCAGCCGCCGCGGUAACACCAGCGCCACAAGUGGCAAUCACAAUUAUUGGGCCUAAAGCGUCCGUAGCCGACUUGGUAAAUCUCUUGUGAAAUCGUUGGACCAAAUUCAACGGCGGGCAGGAGACACUGCUAAGUUAGGAACCGGGAGGAGUCAGAGGUAUUCUUAGUGGAGCGGUAAAAUGCUAUAAUCCUAAGAGGACCACCUGUGGCGAAGGCGUCUGACUAGAACGGAUUCGACGGUGAGGGACUAAAGCCAGGGGAGCGUACCGGAUUAGAUACCCGAGUAGUCCUGGCCAUAAACGCUGCGAGCUAGGUGUCGCAUACUCUACAUGAUUAUGCGGUGUCGAGGCGAAGGCAUUAAGCUCGCCGCCUGGGAAGUACGGUCGCAAGACUGAAACUUAAAGGAAUUGGCGGGGGAGCACCACAAGGGGUGCGGCGUGCGGUUUAAUCUAACUCAACGCAGAGAAUCUCACCAGAGGCGACGGCAGGUGAAAGACAGUCUGAAGGGCUUUCUUGACGAGCCGAGAGGUAGUGCAUGGCCGCCGUCAGCUCGUGCCGUAAGGUGUCCUGUUAAGUCAGGCAACGAGCGAGACCUGCAUUCACAAUUGCUAGCGACGAGAUUAAUCGGAUCGAGCACAUUGUGAGAACUGCCCGUGAAAACGGGAGGAAGGUGCAGGCUACGGUAGGUCUGUAUGCUCCGAAUCUUCUGGGCAACACGCGCGCAACAAUGGUAGGGACAAUGGGAUACGACUCCGAAAGGAGAAGUUAAACCUCUAAACCCUAUCUAAGUCCAGAUUGAGGUUUGUAACUCAGCCUCAUGACGACGGAAUCCCUAGUAAUCGGACUUUAGCAUAGUCCGGUGAAUAUGUCCCUGCUCCUUGCACACACCGCCCGUCAAACCACUCGAGCAGAGUUUAGGUGAGACUUGGUUCUCGUGACCCGGCCGAACCUAAGCUCAGUGAGAUGGGUUAAGUCGUCACAAGGUA